UCAACUUUAUCUGCCAUCGAGCCUUCCCGGGCCCACAUGCCCUUCUCGCUCCUCCUCCUCCUCCCCUUUCUCGCGUCCCCAUUUCCUCCCACCAAAUACGGCACCGUGAUCCGCCACCGACCCGAUCCCCGGCCAUGGCCGCCGACUCCGCCGCCUGCUGCCCGUGGGACGCGCUCCCGGCGCACGUCCAGGAGCGCAUCCUCUCCCGCCUGCCGCUCACCGCGCUCAUCCCCGUCGCCGCCGUCUCCCGGGCGCUGCGCCGCCUCCUGCGCUCCCCGGCCUUCCACGCCCUCCUCUCCCAGCACCGCCUCGACGCCUUCUUCCUCCUCUCGCCGCGCCUCGCCUUCCACCCGCUCUCCCGGCGCCUCCUCCAGGUGCCCACCACGCCCCCGCUCGAUCCAUCUUGCCCUCCCCUCAUCUCCUCCGCCUCCCCCUCCUUCCUUGUCACCGCCGACUCGCUCCUCCGCCUCCCAGUGCUCCCCGACCGCUCCUACCUCAUCGCCGUCGUCGUCCCACCCUCACCCUCCACCUCCUCCAGCCGGGAUUACACCCUCGUCGCCGUCACCACCAACGGCGCCGCUGUCCGCUCGUAUUCCCUGGACUCCGCCGAUCCCUCCCCACGGUGGGUACCUGGGGCCGAGCUGCCGCUGCCAUUUGCGAUCCUUGGCAAUGCUGCGGUCGCCAGUGACCGUUCUCGGCUCUUUGUGCUUGGCCGGGGUCCGGACGCGCUUCUGGUGCUUGAUCUCGAGACCGGAAAGUGGGCUGCUCCGCCAGUUGUGAUCCCGCACGGCCUUACGACGGCGCACCUGUUUGUUCUUGAUGAUCGGCUAUUCUUGGUCGGUGGGGUGGAGAGGCUCGGGGUACUGGAGCGGGUGGUGGUGUGGCAGUUGGACAACGACGAGGCAGUGGGAUGGGUGGAGGUAGCCACAAUGCCGUCGGAGGUGUUCACUGAGCUGGUGGCUGAUAGGCAUGGCAGUUUCUGGCACUUUCAGGCUGCGGACAGAAUGGGGACUCUUUGUCUGUACAAUGCUGUAGAUGGGAGACUGGUGAUGUUUGAUGCGGUGGAUUGUGUAUGGACGAUGAUGCCACGAGUGUCUGGGUUAGGAGCCGGGGAGAGCCAAAUGUGGUUUGGGCAUGUCUUGGAGCCAGGCGUCGAGCUCUUGCUGGGAGAACGCAGCCCGUGUUCAUGAGGAUGUUGGAGAACUAACAACAGUGGGCUGCCCGGGAAUUGAUGGACCUGCUUCUGAUCAUGGGCUAGACUUGGUGUUGUUUCAGCUGGUAGCUGGCCUUUGAUGACUAGACUAGAAGGAACCGUGGGAGUGAAUCAUCUUCAGCUGGCAUACCAUGUAUAGGGGACGACUAAAAUAGAAGCGCAACCCUUGUAGAAAGGAUCUAGUAAUUGCCAGUUGAACAAUGAUCUAAGGAUCACACCGUCGUACAUAACCAGAAGGUGUGGCCUGGCGUAUGUGGAAGGAACAAAGGUUGCAUGAGCUUGUGGAUCCGUUGUUAGGGGACGGAUAUGAAGUCGCCGAGAUAAUGAAAUGCGCUCAGGUGGCGCUGCUUUGUGCUCGGGAAGGUCCAGCAGAUCGACCCACACCAUGACAGAUGUUGCUGCAAUCCUGAACUCUGAAAGCAUAAGAUUACCAAUGGAGCCUAAGCUUCCCACCACACUGAUCCAUGGGUGUGCCGACAGAGACACGACAUCGACAUACGUGGACCAAUCAAGCAGGACAAUUGACAUAACCAUGACGAGUUCCGCUCCAAUGUCUACUAGAGUUCGAAUCAUUCUGGACCCGGAGGUUUGAUAUGAUGAACAACAUUCAGUACCAUAUAUAAUAUACAAAAUGCGAGUAUGGAUCGUGGGCUUUUUACGUGUCAUGUAGCGUACAUAUUCGAGAUAUUGAGACCAAUUUCAGAGUGAAAAUAAACAUGUUGUGUGGUAGCAGCUGCCAGAUUGAUUUUCCAUC